GCUCGGCCUGCGCGGCGCGCCGGAAGUGACGUCGCCGGAAGCGCCGGGCCCGAGCCAUGGCCCCGGAGGCCGCGGGGCGGCCGCCGGAGGAGACGCUGUCGCUGUGGAAACGGGAGCAGGACCGGCUGAAGGCUCUCCUGGUGGACCGCGACACGGAGGCGUGGCAGCGGGACCCCGCCUUCUCGGGUCUGCAGAGGGUCGGCGGCGUGGACGUGUCCUUCGUGAAAGGGGACAGUGUCAGCGCCUGUGCCUCCCUGGUGGUGCUCAGCUUCCCCGAGCUCGAGGUGGUGUAUGAAGAGAGCCGAAUGGUCAGCCUGACGGCCCCCUACGUGGCAGGCUUCCUGGCCUUCCGAGAGGUGCCCUUCCUGGUGGAUUUGGUGCAGCAACUACAGGAGAAGGAGCCGGGCCUCAUGCCUCAGGUCCUUCUUGUGGAUGGAAAUGGGGUGCUGCACCACCGAGGCUUCGGGGUGGCCUGCCACCUUGGCGUCCUCACAGAGCUGCCCUGCAUUGGGGUGGCCAAGAAACUCCUGCAGGUGGAUGGGCUGGAGAACAAUGCCCUGCACAAGGAGAAGAUCCGGCUCCUGCAGGCUGGAGGAGAUACAUUUCCUCUGAUGGGAGGCUCUGGAACUGUCCUGGGAAUGGCCCUGAAGAGCCACAGCCACAGCAUCAAGCCUCUCUACAUCUCCGUGGGCCACAAGAUAAGCCUGGAGGCAGCCGUGCGCCUGACCCAAUGCUGCUGCAGGUUCCGGAUCCCAGAGCCUGUGCGCCAGGCUGACAUCCGCUCUCGAGAACACAUUCGCAGGACUCUGGGACACCUCCGGCCAUCUGAACCAGGGCAAGCGAGGAGUCAGAAGGCACAUUGUCCAAAGGCAUGCCCCAAAGGGGGCCCAGGAGAGCCUACAGACCCCUCAGGACCACAGCAGAGGCCCCGGGACAGACUUGGAGGCUCCCAGGAGCAGCAGAGCCCGUUCUGGAGUGGAGGAGACGAGGUGCCAUGAGCACUCGGGCUGCUGGCUUCCCACUCCCGCCUCAGGACAGUAGCUGUGGGGACCUCACCUAACCACAGGGUUCGUUUUUAACUGGUGCCCCUCCAGCCAUAGUGGGCCACAGAGGGGAUCCACACUGGUGUGGCCAUGCUUCAGCUCCCACAAGUGUCCUCACUCUGAAUCGAAGCCAAGGGUGGGCACAGGCACCUAGGGUUUCAGAGGAUUCCAAACAGGAAGCCAGUUGAGGCCCAUGCCCACCUCUGGAGAGCCAGGAUGCUCUUGCCAUCCCCACCCAGAGGCAUAUCCUCAAGCCCCGUCUCCACUGUGGGAAGGCAGCUCAUUCCCAGACCCAUCUGGCCACUUCCUCUCUUGGCAUGGGCUUGGAGUGGCAACUGAGAGGAAGGGCGCAGUGGGUGGCACCUGCAGCCUGCCUCAUCCCCGGUCUUUCAUGUGCCAGUUUGCUCCCAGAGUGGAGAGGACAGGGUAGAGGGCUGGCUGCCAGAUCCCGUGGGCCCCUUUCCCUAGUUCCAGAUCAGGUUGGAGGAAGGUGGCCAGCAAUGGAGAAGAGGAGGCGGGGGGUCGUCCUUAAAGAAAUGGAGGAUGGUGGGACAUCAUGACCCUGAAACACCCCUGUCUAUUCCCAAGCCAUGUUACGCCCAGACCAGAAUGUCCAGGUAAAUGCCAUCCUGAGGGACACUGACUCUCAUACGUGGUACGUGGGCAGACUAGCGUUACAGUAAGAGCUGCCUUCCUGCACACACACCAGGCCUGCUGCUUCUUGGGAUGCUGAUCAUGCAAUGGAGCACUCUAAUGAUGUCACUGCUGCGGCCUGACUGGCAAACCCUCCUCCCUGGGUGACUGCCCUGGUGUUGGGGGCACCAUGGAGAUGACAAGUUCCUCUUGUCCAGCCAGCUACCAUUGGACAAGGUGUGGAAAGGGAUGGAGACACAGGAGGUUCACUGUGAGGGACAGGUACCGCCUGUCCAGCCUGCUGCCUUGGGCCUUCCCCAUGAGCAGCUUUCAAUAGACUGAUGUCACCAGGUGCAGUGGCACAUACCUAUAAUCCCAGUGGCUCGGGAGGCUGAGAUGGGAGAAUUGUGAGUUCAAAGCCA